UACUGGAAACGGUAGCUAAUACCGCAUAACGUCGCAAGACCAAAGAGGGGGACCUUCGGGCCUCUUGCCAUCGAAUGUGCCCAGAUGGGAUUAGCUAGUAGGUGGGGGUAACGGGCUCACCUAGCGACGAUCCCUAGCUGGUCUGAGAGGAUGACCAGCCACACUGGAACUGAGACACGGUCCAGACUCCUACGGGAGGCAGCAUG
rnacentral:rRNA from 1 species